rnacentral:rRNA from 1 species
UAGGGAAUCUUCGGCAAUGGGGGGAACCCUGACCGAGCAACGCCGCGUGAGUGAAGAAGGUUUUCGGAUCGUAAAGCUCUGUUGUUAAGGAAGAACGAGUGUGAGAAUGGAAAGUUCAUGCUGUGACGGUACUUAACCAGAAAGGGACGGCUAACUACGUGCCAGCAGCCGCGGUAAUACGUAGGUCCCGAGCGUUGUCCGGAUUUAUUGGGCGUAAAGCGAGCGCAGGCGGUUAGAAAAGUCUGAAGUGAAAGGCAGUGGCUCAACCAUUGUAGGCUUUGGAAACUGUUUAACUUGAGUGCAGAAGGGGAGAGUGGAAUUCCAUGUGUAACGGUGAAAUGCGUAGAUAUAUGGAGGAACACCAGUGGCGAAGGCGACUCUCUGGUCUGUAACUGACGCUGAGACUCGAAAGCGUGGGUAGCAAACAGG